AUUCUUUCUUCUUUUUUCUAUUUCUUUGUUUUCUUCCCCCUUCUUCUUUUCUUCUUUAUUCUUCUUCUGUGAGAUUUCGAGUGAUGAAAUUGAGAGUUUUUAGAGAGACUUUAAUGGAUGAAUUUAUUAUGAUGGAGAAGGAGGUGUUGUCUAUGGGAUUAAGAAGAAGAAGAUUUAAUAUUGCUUGGGUUUUGAGACGAAUCAGGGAGAAGUAGAGUUAGGGUUUCUGUGAGUUGAUGAAGGUUUGAUUUGAGGUAGUUGAAGAUGGGUUUCGAGAUAUUGAAUAGAAUAAGAAUAUUGUUGUGCUAAUUUGAUGAUUAAGUUUCAGAUAAGAAGAUUAAUUGUGAAUAAGAAAUUAGGGUUUGAGAGAAAUUCAUAAGAAUAAAUAGAAGAUGAGAUUGAGAGUGUAAAUGAAGGAUUAAAGAUGGGUUGGAUGGCAUUUAAGGGAUAAGGUUGUAGAACAGCAAGAAUGCGCAUUUAGGGUUUGAGGUUAUGAAAUUAGAAGUUCAAUUUGAGGUUGAUAAUGAGAUUGAGAUUGGGAAAUGAAGAAUAGAGUAGAUUCGAGAAUAAUUAAGCAUCGGGUUGUUGAUGUAGAUGUUGUUGCUAACAGAUCGGAUUGAGUAGAAGUUAGAUUGUUUUGAAUCGGUUGUAAAGUGGACGAGUCAAGGAAUUAGAGUCAACUAUGUUGUUAAGGAACCUGCACUGAGGUAAAUUUUCCUUACUAAAUUUUAGAUGUUAUAAUCAUUCUGAUUGUGUUGUUGUUUGACUACAUGAAGUAGUUAAUGUAAAGUGAUGUAUGAUGAGCAUGAACUGGAGAUGUAGAUGUAGUACAUGUUGUGCUUGUUUCAAAGAAACUGGAUACUGAGAUAUGCAUGGGUUGGUUGAAGUUCUUUGUAUGAAUGUUGUUAGGUUGCAUCAAAGAAGUUAGAUUGAGGUAUGUUGUGCAAUAAUCAAGAAUGAGAUGUUCCAGGGAGUGUGUAUGUUAUCUGAGUUAAGAAUUAGAUGAAUUGUUGUGGUUGAGUUAUGGAAAUUACAGGGUUGAGUAUAAACUGGAUAAGUUGUAUAUGAUUUGUAUCUAAUGAGUUUGGUGGUGAUGGGUAUAUGUAUGAACUGUGUAGAUGAAAUGGAUGGAGGUAUUUCUUGUAUAGCACGUUAAGUGAUAACUGAUGGUGUUGUUUCAUGGAACUGAGAUGUUGCAGGUUUAGUCUUGAUGAUAUGUUGAGUGUUGUUGCCACUGGAUUGUACUUAGGACUGUGAAGUUGCAGGUGAUAUUGAGUUGGAUUGGCAGUGUUUCCGGAAUAAGAGUUUAGCGAUUGUGUUAAGUUAAAUCUCUAAGGGAAGGCUUGCAACUACAAUGACAGGGUAAUGGAACUGAGAUGUAAGGAUGCAAGCCUGAAUUCAGUUAGUCUAUGUAACAACGAUCGAUUCAAAGGAUGAACCAGUGGAUCGUGGAUCUCGAGAUAGGCGUGGCUUGUCAUCAAAAGAGUUUCAGACACAGAUCAGAGUUGGCGCAGCGAAAGCUUCGUCAGUUGGUUAACUUCUGUUAUGUUUAUUAUGUCGUAUAUUCUGUUUGUAAACCAAAGGAUUAUUGUAUAUGUAUCAUUUGAGAGAAUUUCUUGUAUAUAUACGUUUCUGAGCGGGGCUAGUCUUGGGUUAAGUUUUUAUAGCAGAUUUCUUAAUUGAAUGCUUAAGUAUUUGUUUUAGAUUCGUGGUUCCUUUUUAUUUAGU